ACCCUCUCCAUUUAAUACUAUGAAACUAGCUUCUUUCCACUAGACCACUCAACAAUAUUUGCUACUGAUAUACUAUGCUAAAUAUAUGAACCGGGCUAAAAAAGAUUUAAAAUAAAAAAAACAAAAUAAACAUUUUUAUGGGUUUUUUAUUAUCUCUGUUAAAAAACAAAAUAAACUAAAUAAAUAAAAGGUAAAUAAUAAUAAUAAAAGAAAAUAAAAGCAUAUACUUUUUUUGAUUUUUGUGUUAAAAAUGAAAUAAAUUAAAUAAUAAAAGAAAAAUUAAAAAAAAGAAAAAAGAAAAAAAAAGAAAAUGGAAACACAGAGGUUCGUCUUCCUCCCUCUCUCUCGCAUCGCUCCUCUCACUGGAGACAUUCAUCUCCCUCCACACUCGAAACAGAGACAAACUCAAAGAGAAAACCAAUACCCCUAACCUAAACUAAAAUGACCAACAUUCGUCUCAUCCUAUCAUCUCCUUCACAACGAAACCGAAACGCAACGACAACAACGACUAAGAAAAACGCUGAACCUUUCCU
rnacentral:lncRNA from 1 species